UCUUAUGGAUGAGCAAAGAAAAUGGUUUCUCAAGAUGGAAUUUACUUCUGGUGAAGAUGCUAUGAA
rnacentral:pre_miRNA from 1 species